UCAGUGUUCACAGACAACACAACAGCCAUGUAUUACAUAAACAAGCAUUGAGGGGCAUGGUCCUCCCCCCUUUGUCAGGAGGCCAUCCAACUCUGGGUCUUUUGUAUAGCCCACUCGAUAGACCUGGUAGCGUCCUUUCUUCCAAGGGUUCGGAACACUCUGGCGGAUCGACUCAGCAGAUCCUUCCUGUCUCACAAGUGGUCAAUUCGUCCGGACGUUAUUUAUUCUGUUUUCCAGAAGUGGGGAUUUCCCCGCAUAGACCUCUUUGCUUCCCACGAGAACAGGAAAUGCCAGAUGUUCUGCUCCUUCCCAGGUCUCUCCCAGGGCUCGAUCUCAGAUGCUUUCCUGAUGCCGUGGACGAGCCAACUGCUUUACACCUUCCCACCGUUCCCACUGGUUCACAGGGUCCUCCUAAAGCUCCGCAGGGACGGAGCUCGCUUGAGCAUGAUCGCUCCGGCGUGGCCCAGGCAGCACUGGUACACCAUGUUGCUCGACCUCUCAAUAGACAACCCAAUUACCCUGCCUCUUCACCCAGACCUCAUAACUCGGGACCAUGGCACACUUCACCACCCAGACCUGCAGUCCCUUCACCUCACAGCAUGGUUGCUGCGUGGUUAAGCCAGUCAGAGUUACAUUGCUCUGCCUCAGUACAACAAGUACUCCUGGGUAGCAGGAAACCUUCCACUCGGUUGACGUAUCUGGCCAAGUGGAAGCAUUUCUCCUGCUGGUGUGAAACGCAUAAUGUCAUUCCCACCGAGGUCUCAAUCCCCACCAUCUUGGACUACCUCUGGUAUCUCAAACAGCAGGGCCUAGCGGUAUCAUCGAGGGUGCACUUGGCGGCCAUCUCUACCUUCCACCCAGGGGAGAGUGGCCACUCCGUGUUCUCGCACCGUAUGGUCUCUAGGUUCCUCAAGGGCUUGGAGCGCCUAUACCCCCAAGUAAGACACCCCGCCCCAACCUGGGACCUCAACCUGGUUCUAACCAGACUCAUGUCUGCCCCAUUCGAGCCAUUAGCAACCUGCUCGCUACUAUACCUGUCCUGGAAGACAGCUUUCCUCGUAGCCAUUACAUCGGCCAGACGAGUCUCCGAACUUCGGGCUCUCACGAUGGACCCAGCGUAUACUGUGUUUCACAAGAACAAGGUGCAUUUGCGACCACACCCGACGUUCCUUCCUAAAGUGGUUUCGGCCUUUCAUGUCAACCAGGAUAUCUUCCUUCCAGUCUUCUUCCCGAAGCUACACUCAUCACGACGGGAGCAAAAAUUGCACUCCCUAGAUGUCCAUAGAGCACUCUCAUUUUGUAUCAAGCGCACAAAACCCUUUCGUAAAAUGCCCCAACUCUUCGUUGCGGUGGCAGACCGAAUGAAGGGCCUACCUGUCUCCUCCCAGAGGAUCUCAUCUUGGGUGACGGCGUGCAUCCAUACCUGUUAUGACUUGGCUCAUGUUCCCUUGAGCCACCUCAUCGCUCAUUCUACCAGAGCUCAGGCUUCAUCUGCCGCUUUCCUGGCUCAUGUACCCAUCCAGGAGAUAUGUCGCACAGCUACCUGGUCCUCUGUCCACACCUUUGCCUCUCAUUAUGCUUUGGUUCAACAGUCCAGAGAUGAUGCAGCCUUUGGCUCAGCAGUUUUGCAUUCUGCAAAAUCUCACUCCGAUCCCACCAUGUAGGUAAGGCUUGGGAAUCACCUAACUGGAAUCGGUAUGAGCAAGCACUCGAAGAAGAAAAGAUAGUUACUCACCUUUAUAACUGUUGUUCUUCGAGAUGUGUUGCUCAUAUCCAUUCCAAACCCACCCUCCUUCCCCUCUGUCGGAGUAGCCAGCAAGAAGGAACUGAAGGGCUGUUGGGUCGGCAGAGGUAUAUAUCCAGCGCCAUAGCGGUGCCACUCCAGGGGGCGCCCAGCCGACCCACCGAGUUUU
rnacentral:lncRNA from 1 species